AUUGAACGCUGGCGGCAGGCCUAACACAUGCAAGUCGAGCGAGCGGCGGACGGGUGAGUAAUGUCUGGGAAACUGCCUGAUGGAGGGGGAGAACUAUGCGAAACGGUAUCUAAUACCGCAUACCCUCUGAUGUGCCCCGAUGGGAUUUGCUAGUAGGUGUGGUAACGGCUCACCUAGGCCACGAUCCCUAGCUGGUCUGAGAGGAGUAACAGCCACACUGGAACUGAGACACGGUCCAGACUCGUACGGGAGGCAGCAGUGGGGAAUAUUGCACAAUGGGCGCAAGCCUGAUGCAGCCAUGCCGCGUGUAUGAAGAAGGCCUUCGGGUUGUAAAGUACUUUCAGCGAUGAGGCGUUACCCGCAGAAGAAGCACCGGCUAACUCCGUGCCAGCAGCCGCGGUAAUAC
rnacentral:rRNA from 1 species